UCCUUCCAUCACUAUCCAUCAUUACUUUUCCUCCAUUUACUACCGCAUCUACAUCCCUCAAUCCACAAAGACCUUUUCUCUGACUUUCCACUGAACCCAGUAACACCAUCCAUUGCCGUCCUCACCAUCUCAAAAAAAUCACGUCUCAUUCUCGUUUGA